GAUGAACGCUAGCGGCAGGCCUAACACAUGCAAGUCGAGGGAUAAGCCCUUCGGGGUGGAAACCGGCGCACGGGUGCGUAACGCGUAUGCAACCUACCUUUCACAGGGGGAUAGCCCGAAGAAAUUUGGAUUAAUACCCCAUAAUAUUAUUGGAUGGCAUCAUCUGAUAAUUAAAGUUACGAUGGUGAAAGAUGGGCAUGCGUCCUAUUAGCUAGUUGGAGUGGUAACGGCACCCCAAGGCUACGAUAGGUAGGGGUCCUGAGAGGGAGAUCCCCCACACUGGUACUGAGACAGGGACCAGACUCCUACGGGAGGCAGCAGUGAGGAAUAUUGGUCAAUGGUCGGAAGACUGAACCAGCCAUGCCGCGUGCAGGAAGAAUGCCUUAUGGGUUGUAAACUGCCUUUAUAUGGGAAGAAUAAGGAGUACGUGUACUUUGAUGACGGUACCAUAUGAAUAAGC
rnacentral:rRNA from 1 species